rnacentral:misc_RNA from 1 species
GUCAAAGUUGCAAUAGUUAUGGGCACAAGUUCCAUGCAUGAACAAUUAUAGCAAACUACAAAUAACAUCUUAAUCAAUGGUCAUGUUUUCCACCUCAUUCCUAAUGGAAUUAAACACCUCGGAAGAUAACGAACGCUCUCCAAAACUAGGGAAUAUCACCACGAUGAGUUUCCUAGCAUUUUCAGGUCUCUUUGCCAAUUUUAUUGCAG